GUGGAGGAGGACGACCCGGUUCCCGAGAUACGCAGGGAUCACUUUGAGGAGGCCAUGCGCUUCGCUCGCCGCUCCGUCAGUGACAACGACAUCAGGAAAUACGAGAUGUUUGCACAGACUCUGCAGCAGAGCCGUGGCUUUGGCAGCUUCAGGUUCCCGUCAGGUAACCAGGGCGGAGCUGGUCCCAGCCAAGGCACAGGAGAUGGCAGCGGGGGCAACGUGUACAGUGAAGACAACGACGAUGAUCUCUACGGUUAACUCGCUGUCCUCGGUGGACCAAACUCCAAACCAGGCCACGUUGUGCAGGGAAAAAUCCAAUGUUCAAUGGACUCUUGGCUUCUUCAUUCCUCAGUCAACAGUGUAGCUGCACGUCAGGCUCUGCACAGGGGAUAUUUUCUGCAAACAAAUACAGACCGGUUUUAAGUGGGGAAGCAGACAAUGAAUUAUUAACAAGAUGGGGAUACAAUGUAAUUUCUGAGAAAUUUCUGUUUUAGUUUAUGUCGCAGCUUUAGUAAAGAAUACAACGCUAGCCUGUUUAAAAAAGAAAAAAAAACCUAUAAAAAUAAUUAAAAAAAAAAAAAUAAAAGCCC